GACGAACGCUGGCGGCGUGCUUAACACAUGCAAGUCGAACGGAAAGUCCCGGCUUUGUGGGGCUGCGCUAGUUACGAACUGGGGAGUUACACGUGAGUAACCUGCCCUUGACUGUGGGGUAUCUUCAUGAAACUUAGUCUAAUAGCGGCUAGGAGCUCCUGCUUCAGGGUGGGGGUGGGUUAGAUUCGGCGGUUGGUGGUGUACUCGCGGCUUAUCAGCUUGUUGGUGGGGUAGUGUCUUACCAAGGAUUUGACGGGUAGCCGGCCUGAGAGGGUGACCGGCGACAUUGGGACUGAGAUACGGCACAGACUCCUACGGGAGGCAGCAGUGGGGAAUAUUGCACAAUGGGCGGAAGCCUGAUGCAGCAACGCCGCGUGCGGGAUGACGGCCUUCGGGUUGUAAACCGCUUUCGCCUGUGACGAAGCGUGAGUGAGGGUAAUGGGUAAAGAAGCACCGGCUAACUACGUG
rnacentral:rRNA from 1 species